UACGUAGGGUGCGAGCGUUGUCCGGAAUUAUUGGGCGUAAAGAGCUUGUAGGCGGUUUGUCGCGUCUGCUGUGAAAAUCCGGGGCUCAACCCCGGACUUGCAGUGGGUACGGGCAGACUAGAGUGUGGUAGGGGAGACUGGAAUUCCUGGUGUAGCGGUGAAAUGCGCAGAUAUCAGGAGGAACACCGGUGGCGAAGGCGGUUCUCUGGGCAUGAUCUGACGCUGAGGAGCGAAAGUGUGGGGAGCGAACAGG
rnacentral:rRNA from 1 species